rnacentral:rRNA from 1 species
GAUGAACGCUGGCGGCGUGCCUAAUACAUGCAAGUCGAGCGAACAGACGAGGAGCUUGCUCCUCUGACGUUAGCGGCGGACGGGUGAGUAACACGUGGAUAACCUACCUAUAGACUGGGAUAACUUCGGGAAACCGGAGCUAAUACCGGAUAACAUGUUGAACCGCAUGGUUCAACAGUGAAAGACGGUCUUGCUGUCACUUAUAGAUGGAUCCGCGCCGCAUUAGCUAGUUGGUAAGGUAACGGCUUACCAAGGCAACGAUGCGUAGCCGACCUGAGAGGGUGAUCGGCCACACUGGAACUGAGACACGGUCCAGACUCCUACGGGAGGCAGCAGUAGGGAAUCUUCCGCAAUGGGCGAAAGCCUGACGGAGCAACGCCGCGUGAGUGAAGAAGGUCUUCGGAUCGUAAAACUCUGUUAUUAGGGAAGAACAAAUGUGUAAGUAACUAUGCACGUCUUGACGGUACCUAAUCAGAAAGCCACGGCUAACUACGUG